rnacentral:rRNA from 2 species
AGCAUAGCGAUUUGGGAUAAGUCCCUUGGAAGAGGGCAGCAUGGAGGGUGAUACUCCCGUCUCUGCUCAGGUUGUCUGUGUGUACGAUACGCUUUCUUUGAGUCGAGUUGUUUGGGAAUACAGCUCAAAGCAGGUGGUAAAUUCCAUCUAAAGCUAAAUAUUGGUGCGAGACCGAUAGCGAACAAGUACCGUGAGGGAAAGAUGAAAAGAACUUUGAAAAGAGAGUUAAAGAGUACCUGAAACUGUUGAAAGGGAACCGUAUCGUUUCUAGUGUGUAUCCUAUGCAUAUUUCAUUGGCGGUUGUAAAAUUGCUGGUGCCCUGUGUAUGGGUGUGACGUCAGAGUCAGUUUGAAUUGCGGGAGAUGGGUAGUGAGGAGGUGCGUCACUUUUGUGAAAGUUACAGCUCGCUAUCUAGUAGCCGUGGUUGAGACUGAGGUGCC